rnacentral:tRNA from 1 species
UUUUAGUUAGUAUAAAAAGUACAGUUACCUUCCAAGUAAAAAGUCUAAAAAUAGACUCCAUU